ACGAACGCUGGCGGCGUGCCUAAUACAUGCAAGUCGAACGUGAAAGUCCUUCGGGAUGAGUAAAGUGGCGCACGGGUGAGUAACACGUAGGUCACCUGCCUUUUAGUGGGGAAUAACACAGCGAAAGUUGUGCUAAUGCCGCAUGUGAAAGAAAUUUCAAAGGGGGCUAGCAAUAGCUCUCGCUAAGAGAUGGGCCUGCGCGACAUUAGGUAGUUGGUGGGGUAAUGGCCUACCAAGCCUACGAUGUCUAUCCGGUCUGAGAGGAUGAUCGGACACACUGGAACUGAGACACGGUCCAGACUCCUACGGGAGGCAGCAGUAGGGAAUAUUGCGCAAUGGGGGAAACCCUGACGCAGCAACGCCGCGUGAGUGAGGAAGGUUUUCGGAUUGUAAAGCUCUGUUCUUAGGGAAAAAUGGUCAGGGAGCUAAUACCCCCUGAUUUGAUGGUACCUAAGGAGAAAGGACCGGCUAACUUCGU
rnacentral:rRNA from 1 species